GAUGAACGCUGGCGGCGUGCUUAACACAUGCAAGUCGAACGAAGCACCUUAUUCUGAUUUCUUCGGAAUGAAAAAUUUGGUGACUGAGUGGCGGACGGGUGAGUAACGCGUGGGUAACCUGCCUCAUUCAGGGGGAUAACAGUUAGAAAUGACUGCUAAUACCGCAUAAGACCACAGCACCGCAUGGUGCAGGGGUAAAAACUCCGGUGGUAUGAGAUGGACCCGCGUCUGAUUAGGUAUUUGGUGGGGUAACGGCCUACCAAGCCGACGAUCAGUAGCCGACCUGAGAGGGUGACCGGCCACAUUGGGACUGAGACACGGCCCAAACUCCUACGGGAGGCAGCAGUGGGGAAUAUUGCACAAUGGGGGAAACCCUGAUGCAGCGACGCCGCGUGAGCGAUGAAGUAUUUCGGUAUGUAAAGCUCUAUCAGCAGGGAAGAAAAUGACGGUACCUGACUAAGAAGCACCGGCUAAAUACGUGCCAGCCGCCGCCGUAAUAC
rnacentral:rRNA from 1 species